UGCAAUCUAUGAUGAAAUAUGUCCUUAAUAAUCUGAUUAACAUGUGAUUAUUAUUUAAACAUAUCACCAUCUUUCGGCUGAGAUUGCA